UACAGAGGUCUCAAGCGUUGUUCGGAUUCAUUGGGCGUAAAGGGUGCGUAGGCGGCGCGGUAAGUCGGGUGUGAAAUCUUGGAGCUUAACUCCGAAACUGCAUUCGAUACUGCCGUGCUUGAGGACUGGGAGAGGAGACUGGAAUUUACGGUGUAGCGGUGAAAUGCGUAGAUAUCGUAAGGAAGACCAGUGGCGAAGGCGGGUCUCUGGACAGUUCC
rnacentral:rRNA from 1 species